rnacentral:rRNA from 1 species
UACGUAGGGUGCAAGCGUUGUCCGGAAUUAUUGGGCGUAAAGAGCUCGUAGGCGGUUUGUCGCGUCUGCUGUGGAAACCCGAGGCUCAACCUCGGGCCUGCAGUGGGUACGGGCAGACUAGAGUGCGGUAGGGGAGAUUGGAAUUCCUGGUGUAGCGGUGGAAUGCGCAGAUAUCAGGAGGAACACCAAUGGCGAAGGCAGAUCUCUGGGCCGUAACUGACGCUGAGGAGCGAAAGCAUGGGGAGCCAACAGG